AGAGUUUGAUCCUGGCUCAGAGCGAACGCUGGCGGCAGGCUUAACACAUGCAAGUCGAGCGGGCGUAGCAAUACGUCAGCGGCAGACGGGUGAGUAACGCGUGGGAACAUACCUUUUGGUUCGGAACAACACAGGGAAACUUGUGCUAAUACCGGAUAAGCCCUUACGGGGAAAGAUUUAUCGCCGAAAGAUUGGCCCGCGUCUGAUUAGCUAGUUGGUGGGGUAACGGCUCACCAAGGCGACGAUCAGUAGCUGGUCUGAGAGGAUGAUCAGCCACAUUGGGACUGAGACACGGCCCAAACUCCUACGGGAGGCAGCAGUGGGGAAUAUUGGACAAUGGGCGAAAGCCUGAUCCAGCCAUGCCGCGUGAGUGAUGAAGGCCCUAGGGUUGUAAAGCUCUUUUGUGCGGGAAGAUAAUGACGGUACCGCAAGAAUAAGCCCCGGCUAACUUCGUGCCAGCAGCCGCGGUAAUAC
rnacentral:rRNA from 1 species